rnacentral:rRNA from 1 species
AGAAUCAACGCUGGCGGCGUGCCUAACACAUGCAAGUCGAACGCGGUUACCCCGCAAGGGGUAACUGAGUGGCGAACGGGUGAGUAACACGUGGGUGACCUACCUUCGAAUGGGGGAUAACGUCCCGAAAGGGACGCUAAUACCGCAUAACAUCCUGCUUUUGAACAGGUGGAGAUCAAAGCCGGGGAUCGCAAGACCUGGCGUUUGAAGAGGGGCCCGCGUCCGAUUAGCUAGUUGGUGAGGUAACGGCUCACCAAGGCGACGAUC